UGCGUAGGCGGCCCGUUAAGUCAGGGGUGAAAUCCCGCAGCUCAACUGCGGAACUGCCCUUGAUACUGGCGGGCUCGGAUCGGCGCGAGGCAGGCGGAACGUGGCAUGUAGCGGUGAAAUGCUUAGAUAUGCCACAGAACACCGAUUGCGUAGGCAGCUUGCCAGAGCCGUAUCGACGCUGAGGCACGAAAGCGUGGGGAGCGAACAGGAUUAGAUACCCUGGUAGUCC
rnacentral:rRNA from 1 species